rnacentral:rRNA from 1 species
GUAAGAAAUCAAAAGAUUGCACAUACUCCAUCCCAUUUGAUCUCAGAAGCUAAGCAGGGUUGGGCCUGGUUAGUACUUGAAUGGGAGAACACCUAGGAACACCAGGUGCUAUAGGCA